GAGUUUGAUCUGGCUCAGAUUGAACGCUGGCGGCAUGCCUUACACAUGCAAGUCGAACGGUAGCACGGGAGCUAAUCGGAUGCUGACGAGUGGCGAACGGGUGAGUAAUAUAUCGGAACGUGCCCAGUAGUGGGGGAUAGCCCGGCGAAAGCCGGAUUAAUACCGCAUACGACCUACGGGUGAAAGGGGGGGAUCGCAAGACCUCUCGCUAUUGGAGCGGCCGAUAUCAGAUUAGGUAGUUGGUGGGGUAAAGGCCUACCAAGCCUGCGAUCUGUAGUUGGUCUGAGAGGACGACCAGCCACACUGGGACUGAGACACGGCCCAGACUCCUACGGGAGGCAGCAGUGGGGAAUUUUGGACAAUGGGGGCAACCCUGAUCCAGCAAUGCCGCGUGCAGGAAGAAGGCCUUCGGGUUGUAAACUGCUUCUGUCAGGGAAGAAAUCCUCUGGGUUAAUACCUCGGGGGGAUGACGGUACCUGAAGAAUAAGC
rnacentral:rRNA from 1 species